rnacentral:rRNA from 1 species
GCGAGUCAACAUAGCAAUAUGUGGCAUACGGCUCAGUAACACGUAGUCAACAUGCCCAGGGGACGUGGAUAACCUCGGGAAACUGAGGAUAAACCGCGAUAGGCCAUCACUUCUGGAAUGGGUAAUGACUUAAACCUAUAUGGCCCCUGGAUUGGACUGCGGCCGAUCAGGCUGUUGGUGAGGUAAUGGCCCACCAAACCUGUAACCGGUACGGGCUCUGAGAGGAGGAGCCCGGAGAUGGGCACCGAGACAAGGGCCCAGGCCCUAUGGGGCGCAGCAGGCGCGAAACCUCUGCAAUAGGCGAAAGCUUGACAGGGUUACUCUGAGUGAUUUCCGUUAAGGAGAUCUUUUGGCACCUCUAAAAAUGGUGCAGAAUAAGGGGUGGGCAAGUCUGGUGUCAGCCGCCGCGGUAAUACCAGCACCCCGAGUGGUCGGGACGUUUAUUGGGCCUAAAGCAUCCGUAGCCGGUUCUACAAGUCUUCCGUUAAGUCCACCUGCUUAACAGAUGGGCUGCGGAAGAUACUAUAGAGCUAGGAGGCGGGAGAGGCAAGCGGUACUCGAUGGGUAGGGGUAAAAUCCGUUGAUCCAUUGAAGACCACCAGUGGCGAAGGCGGCUUGCCAGAACGCGCUCGACGGUGAGGGAUGAAAGCUGGGGGAGCAAACCGGAUUAGAUACCCGGGUAGUCCCAGCUGUAAACUAUGCAAACUCAGUGAUGCAUUGGCUUGUGGCCAAUGCAGUGCUGCAGGGAAGCCGUUAAGUUUGCCGCCUGGGAAGUACGUACGCAAGUAUGAAACUUAAAGGAAUUGGCGGGGGAGCACCACAAGGGGUGAAG